GAAGUGGCAUUUGAAUGGAGACCUGAAUGAAGAGAGGAGCAAGCCAUGGAAGAUCUGGAGUAAGCACAUUCCAGGACAAGGAGGCCAUGAGUAUGCAGGCAUGUAGGUGGGUGGAGUAUUUAAGGAAAAGCAAGGAGGCCAACAUGGCCAGAGUACUGAGUGAAGAAGAGUGUGGUAUGACAUGAGGUCAAGGAGCUAGCCAGGGGUCUGCUCUUGUAAAGUCUUGAAGGCCAGAGUAAAGAUGUGGAUUAUUCUAAACAAGUAGAGGGUUUUGAAGUGGGAAAAGGCAUGAUCCAAAUAGUAUCUGAAUAAGAUGACCUGGUAUAGAGAAUAGACUUGGGGGGAUAAAGAAGAGAAACAGGGAGACCAGUUAGGAGACUAUCACAGUGGUCCAAAUAAGAGACGUUUAUGGCUUAGCUUAGGUUGGAAGUUUGGAGCAAGUGAAAAGCGGUUGAAUUCAGGUUGUGUUUUGAGGGUAUAGCUAACAAGGCUUGCCAGUAGAUUAGAUGUGGGGUAUGAAGGAAAUAGUAACACGGAGACAAGUCGUUGAUGAUUAUGUGUGCAACUGGGUGGUAUCACUUAGAAAAAGGGGGCUGAUGGGAGGAGCAGCUUUUGAGGGAAUAUCAGGACUUUGGUUUGUUAUCUUGGAUGCCUUUUAGGUAUCUAAGUGUCUGGACAGUGCUCAGACUGUACUUUUUAUCCAAAGGUAUCCAAAGCCACUUUAGAUGCAAAAUGUUUAAAGUUGACCUUUGCUGCUGCCAAAAUAGUAGCCACUGGAGGCAGUCUGCAAGAUGGCAUCUUAGGUUUUUGAGGAAGAAAUUAGAAUACACAAAGGAGGAAAUCAUUCUGUGAUGAAAGCAGUUAUCAAAAAAGUCCUCCAGAUGUAAGGAGUGCCAAGUCAGAGUACCAGUGGAUAACUUCUCCAUCGGUGAAGGAACCAUCCAAAACUGCUAGACAGAAAAAGAGCACUAUAAUUUUGGGAAGUGGUUGAAAAGGAAAAGCUACUAUUAGAAUUGUAUGCGGGCCUCUCACUGUUGUGGCCUCUCCCGCUGCGGAGCACAGGCUCUGGACGCGCAGGCCCAGCGGCCAUGGCUCACGGGCCCAGCCGCUCCGCGGCAUGUGGGAUCUUCCCGGACCGGGGCACGAACCCGUGUCCCCUGCAUCGGCAGGCGGACUCUCAACCACUGCGCCACCAGGGAAGCCCAAUACUUUUGUUUUAGUUAAAAUAACUUGUUACUGUAGAGAACUUAUAUUUUUAAAAAAUGCUAGCUUAUGUAAAACCUUUGUACAAAACGAUCCUCUUUUUAAUGUCUUUGGCAUCAUUGUCAAGUGCCUGUUUGAUUCCUUUCAAAGUGUAACUGUGUGACAGUGGCUCUGUAGACCUUUGGUGCAUCUUGAUUCCUUCUUUUCAUGCUUUGUCAAACAUAGGCUUGGCCGCAAAGAAAAGUGUAAGUAAUGGAAGGAAACACUGCUGGUAAAGAAUGUUAUGCUCCUGAACCUCUACCACCUGGUGUGUCUGGUUUCCUGCCGUGGUGUACUGCAGAAUGUGCAAAAAGGAACAGGUAACGUGUUUGCAUUCCCUGUCUUUUUCAGUCGUUCAGAAUUCUUUAUUUUGGAACCUCUAUUAUGUGGGCAGUCUCUGGUGCUUUCUAUAGAGGAAAAAAGAUAACUCACACAUGGCUUCUGCCUAAUGAGCCCUCUCAGGAAGAAAAACAAAAAAUAAUUGGGAGUUUCAAGUUGUUUCUCAAGUGUCACAACAGAGGUAACCCCGUGGGAGUCAUGAGGAGACUAAAAUUAUCACCAAUUGUGGAGGUGAGAAAAGUUUCACUAAAGGCAGGUGUAGUUGAGCCAAGCCCUAUAGCACAGAAGUAGAAAUUUGGAUAUGUACGAAUGGGAAAAAAGACAUUUUAAGCAUGGGAAAUAGUUUAAUGAAGAAUGGAUGAGAAAUAUGCAUUAGACCUAUUCUAAAUCACCUGGCUUAUUAACUCAGUAAAUCAGAUUUAGUGAGUCAAACUAGCUUUAGCUGAUUACUUAUCCAGGGGAUAGCUGUUCAGAGUAAUUUUUGUCACAGAACAGUAAAUAAAAUUGUUGAACUAUAGCUUUAGGCUUGCUAAGUGAAAUAGAUUGCUGUAGAUGAUUUUCAAGUGACUUACUUGGUAGUAUUCACGAAAUUGGGGGUUAACAAUUGCUUAAGAAAACAUAGAGAAUUGAUUUUAAAUAGUACUUGAAGUGGUUACUGUGUAAAAUAUCUGUUCAGUUGCUCAUGUUAAAUUGAUGUUUAUAAUCCCCGUUGGACAACCGACUACUUGUUUGCAAAUGUUGAUGUGAAUUGCUGUUGCAUAAACUAUAGUAUUGAAUCCCCAGUCUUUGCACUUGAGUUUAACAACUCUGUGGUUUCCUAUCUUCUUCUUGAGACACUUAAUCUCAGGUCCAUCCUCGUCACACAGAGUGGUAAAUAAGAGAACGAUUAAUAUCACCAUUUAAAGAAGUGAGACUGAAAUCUCAACCAUCCUGAACAUAGGAACUGAAGGGGCCUCUCAGCAGUUCAGAGAGUUAUUACCAAGCCUCUCGGCCGAAUUCUGUUCAGUUUUCUCCGUAGCAGAGCCCUCCAGGUCCUUCUUUUGAGCUUAUUUAUUUAUUUAUUUAUUUAUUUAUUUUGCGGUACGCGGGCCUCUCACUGUUGUGGCCUCUCCCGUUGCGG